rnacentral:lncRNA from 1 species
CAAACACAGACUAAAGGUGAAACGUUGGGAAAAAUCAUACCAUUCACAUGGACUGCGGAAGAAGCAGGGGUUUCUAUCCUCGUAUCACAUAAAGGAGACAUAAGCCAAAGUUAAUAAAAAGGGAUAAAGAUGGACACUACAUACUGCUCAAGGUAACCAUACACCAAUAAGACAUAACAAUCAUAAAUAUAUGUGCCUCAAACAAUGAAGCAGCUGUGGUCAUCAAACAAAUUCUUCUCAACUUCAAGAGUCAAAUUGACCACAACACAAUAAUCUUGGGUGACUUUAACACACCUGUCUCACCACUGGAUAGAUCUUCCAAACAAAACUUGAAUAAAGAAACUAAAGAUCUCAAUAAUACAAUUAAUAACUUUGACUUUACUGACGUAUAUAGGAUAUUUCAACCUGCAUCAAGUGGAUACACUUUCUUCUCAGCAGCACAUGGAUCCUUCUCUAAAAUAGACCAUAUACUAUGCCACAAAGCAACUCUAAGCAAAUACAAAAAAGUAGAGAUACUACCCUGCAUUCUAUCAGAUCAUAAUGCAAUGCAAUUGGAAAUCAAUGAAAAAAAUAAAUGAUAAAAAACAACUCCAACACCUAUAGCUAAACCAUAUGCUACUGAAUGAACAAUGGGUUGCAGAAGACAUCAAGGAGGAGAUUAAAAAUUUCUUGGAGGUAAAUGGGAACAUAGAUACAACAUAUCAAAAUCUCUGGGACACUAUGAAAGCAGUACUAAGAGGAAAGCUCAUGAAUUUCAUUUCUUAAAAGAAGAAAAUGUCAAGAAAUAAAUGACCUCAUAUUUCAUCUCAUAGCCCUAGAAAAAGAAGAACAAAUCAACAGCAAAAGCCAUAGAGGACAGAAAAUAAUUCAAACAGAGCUGAAAUCAAUGAAAUCGAAACUAAAGAAGCAAUUUUAAAAAAUUGACAAAACAAAACGUUGCUUCUUUGAAAAAAUAAAUAUAAUUGACAAACUCUUAGCCAUGCUAAUGAAGAGAAGGAGAGAGAAAACUCAAAUUAUCAGUAUAUGUGAUGAAAAAGGAAACAUCACAAUAGACACUACAGAAAUACAGCAUAUAGUUAGAAAUUAUUUUGAAAACUUAUACUCCAAUAAAAUAGAAGAUAUUGAAGCCAUCAAUAAAUUUAUUAAAUCAUACAAUUUCC